GGGAUUAUGGCUUAGUGGUCGAGCAUCUGCUUGGCAUGCUGAAAGUCCCAGGUUCAAGCCCCAGCAUCUCCA
rnacentral:tRNA from 1 species